rnacentral:lncRNA from 1 species
UGCGUGGCAGUAUAAAUCCUUAAUCAUACAUUAUACCUUGAUUUUCGAUAUCUUAUGACUCUGAUACUGAGGUCUAAGUCAUAUAAAUACUUGAUAUUCUGGACGUUGACCUUUGCUAUAACGCCAUACUGCAGGUAUAUGAUGAAGUUAAAGGGUCUCAAUGCUCUUCUACGUCGUACAUUAUGUUGCAUUUUGAUUUUGUUUUAGUAUAAACGACUCAAGAAACCUUUAACGCCACGUAUGUGGAUUAACACUCAUACCCCAUCUAUGUAUUUCGUUAUCGUGCAUAAAAGUAUCACAAAUGACGCCAAGGAACAGUUUAAAGGUCUAAUCAAUAAUGAAGUGUUAGAACACUGAAUAGACAAUUAUAAGUUUGCAAGACCUGUCAAGGUCACCUACAUGUAUGGGUAAUACACAUAAAAUCAUCGCAUGCGAUUAAUCGUAUUCACUGAUCUUGUGGGUUUUUUUGUUGGGUUAUUUUUCAAG